AUUGAACGCUGGCGGCAUGCCUUACACAUGCCAGUCGAACGGCAGCACGGGUGCUUGCACCUGGUGGCGAGUGGCGAACGGGUGAGUAAUACAUCGGAACAUGUCCUGUAGUGGGGGAUAGCCCGGCGAAAGCCGGAUUAAUACCGUAUACGAUCUACGGCUGAAAGCGGGGGACCGUCGGGCCUCGCGCUAUAGGGUUGGCCGAUGGCUGAUUAGCUAGUUGGGGGGGUAAAGGCCUACCAAGGCGACGAUCAGUAGCUGGUCUGAGAGGACGACCAGCCACCCUGGGACUGAGACACGGCCCAGACUCCUACGGGAGGCAGCAGUGGGGAAUUGGGGACAGUGGGCGAAAGCCUGAUCCAGCAAUGCGGCGUGUGUGAAGAAGGCCUUGGGGUUGGAAAGAACUUUUGUCCGGAAAGAAAUCCUUGGCCCUAAUACGGUCGGGGGAUGACGGUACCGGAAGAAUAAGCACCGGCUAACUACGUG
rnacentral:rRNA from 1 species